GACUAACGCUGACGGUGUGCCUAAUACAUGCAAGUCGAACGGGCAGUGUAUUGGUGGCAACACCUUUAUACUGCUAGUGGCGAACGGGUGAGUAACGCGUGGGUAAUCUGCCUUAAAGACUGGGAUAACUCCUCGAAAGAGGUGCUAAUACCGGAUGGUCUAUAUUUAUCUUAUGAUUUAUAUAGUAAAGGUAGCCGCAAGGCUUCCGCUUUAAGAUGAGCUCGCGUCCUAUUAGCUUGUUGGUGGGGUAAUGGCCUACCAAGGCAAUGAUGGGUAGCCGGUCUGAGAGGAUGGUCGGCCACACUGGGACUGAGAUACGGCCCAGACUCCUACGGGAGGCAGCAGUAGGGAAUAUUGCGCAAUGGGCGAAAGCCUGACGCAGCGACACCGUGUGAAGGAUGAAGGUCUUCGGAUCGUAAACUUCUGUCAAUUGGGGACGAAGGUAGUAGGUUUAAUAGCCCGAAUACUGACGGUACCUAAAAAGGAAGUCUCGGCUAACUCCGUG
rnacentral:rRNA from 1 species